rnacentral:sRNA from 6 species
UGUAUCUGAAGCCUGACGAGGAUGAGAACCUCCGGGGGCAAGAGGUUCGACCCGAGCGCAGCGAGAGAACGUUGCGUCAGCAACGGCCCGCAGGGCGAGCCACGCAGUGGCGAGUCAUCCUCUAUCACCGACCA